GCGCAUAGGAUGAGUACGCAUAACUGUACCGAAAGUAGCAGACGAAGACUCUAAUAGAGGAGGAGGUUGGAUGGACGAUUCUGGUAUAGGAGGAAGCAACGAUUCAGAAGACACGAUUGGAAGCGCAGACCGGGUUUCGACUGGAAUUGUGGACCGAUUGUCAAUAGACGACUCAAGGGAAGAAGACACAACAGCAGAAUUUGAAGGACUUAUACUUGAACGAGAUGGAU
rnacentral:lncRNA from 1 species